GCUCAGGAUGAACGCUGGCGGCGUGCUUAACACAUGCAAGUCGAACGAACCUUCGGGUUAGUGGCGGACGGGUGAGUAACGCGUGAGAAUCUGCCCUCAGGAGGGGGAUAACGGUUGGAAACGACCGCUAAUACCCCAUAUGCCUAUUGGUGAAAUGAAUUUCGCCUGAGGAUGAGCUCGCGUCUGAUUAGCUUGUUGGUGAGGUAAUGGCUCACCAAGGCUUCGAUCAGUAGCUGGUCUGAGAGGAUGAUCAGCCACACUGGGACUGAGACACGGCCCAGACUCCUACGGGAGGCAGCAGUGGGGAAUUUUCCGCAAUGGGCGAAAGCCUGACGGAGCAACGCCGCGUGAGGGACGAAGGCCUCUGGGCUGUAAACCUCUUUUCUCAAGGAAGAAGAUAUGACGGUACUUGAGGAAUAAGCCACGGCUAAUUCCGUGCCAGCAGCCGCGGUAAUACGGGAGUGGCAAGCGUUAUCCGGAAUUAUUGGGCGCAAAGCGUCCGCAGGCGGCUUUUCAAGUCUGCUGUUAAAGAGUGGAGCUUAACUCCAUCAUGGCAGUGGAAACUGAAAGGCUUGAGUAUGGUAGGGGCAGAGGGAAUUCCCGGUGUAGCGGUGAAAUGCGUAGAUAUCGGGAAGAACACCAGUGGCGAAGGCGCUCUGCUGGGCCAUUACUGACGCUCAUGGACGAAAGCCAGGGGAGCGAAAGGGAUUAGAUACCCCUGUAGUCCUGGCCGUAAACGAUGAACACUAGGUGUCGGGGGAAUCGACCCCUUCGGUGUCGUAGCUAACGCGUUAAGUGUUCCGCCUGGGGAGUACGCACGCAAGUGUGAAACUCAAGGAAUUGACGGGGGCCCGCACAAGCGGUGGAGUAUGUGGUUUAAUUCGAUGCAACGCGAAGAACCUUACCAGGGUUUGACAUCCUGCGAACCUCUUAGAAAUUUGAGGGUGCCUUCGGGAAUGCAGUGACAGGUGGUGCAUGGCUGUCGUCAGCUCGUGUCGUGAGAUGUUGGGUUAAGUCCCGCAACGAGCGCAACCCACGUUUUUAGUUGCCAGCAUUUAGUUGGGCACUCUAGAAAGACCGCCGGUGAUAAACCGGAGGAAGGUGUGGAUGACGUCAAGUCAUCAUGCCCCUUACACCCUGGGCUACACACGUACUACAAUGCUACGGACAAAGGGCAGCAAACUCGCGAGAGCUAGCAAAUCCCAUAAACCGUGGCUCAGUUCAGAUCGUAGGCUGCAACUCGCCUACGUGAAGUAGGAAUCGCUAGUAAUCGCAGGUCAGCAUACUGCGGUGAAUACGUUCCCGGGCCUUGUACACACCGCCCGUCACACCAUGGAAGUUGGCCAUGCCCGAAGUCGUUACUCCAACCCUUGUGGAGGAGGACGCCGAAGGUGGGGCUAAUGACUGGGGUGAAGUCGUAACAAGGUAACCGUA
rnacentral:rRNA from 1 species